rnacentral:rRNA from 1 species
GAUCACCCGCUGAACUUAAGCAUAUCAUUUAGCGGAGGA